AAUAAAGUGCGGUCGGAACAAGGCUGGCGCCAAGGAUGAGUGGGUCCUUAUGCUCUCUAUCAUUUGGUCUGGCUGGCACAUUGACUUGCUUACUUUCAUUGGGUCUGGCUGGCACAUUGACUUGCUUACUUUAAAGCCCUUUUUAAGGUUAUUGAGCUUGACACAACUGGCUGGUCUGGUCUGCCUCAGCUCAAGCUCAAGCUCCAGCACAAGUCAGGUCAACUUCUUGGAAGACAGACUAAAUCUCAAACCCCAACCCAGUUUUCAGACAGAACACAAAACUGAAGUAAGCAAGAUCAAGUGUUUCCAGCAUGGAAGCACUGGCGGUGCAAGCUGGUGGACAAGGUGUUGGUUCACUGGUUACACCUGCGGUUGAAGGUGGAAAGAGUAUUUUCAACUGUUUGCGGCACAAAUAUGCCUACGUGAAGAAUAUACGAGAGAAUUUUGACAAGCUUGUGAAGGAGGAAGUAUAUUUGUCUAAUGUGGAUGCGGAUGUUAAAACAAAGUUGGAGAGAAACAAAUUAACAAAAGAAAAAACGAACAGAUGUGAAACCUGGCUCAAUGAGGUCGAAAAUAUGAAACAGGAGAUUGAAAACCUUAAGGUUGACUACACAAACACCAGCUCGUAUUUUUGCGGACUAUGUCCAUUUCCGAGUUUGCUAAAGCUUGGCAAGCGUAUUGUGAAGAAGACAACAGAGGUAGUUGAGCUGAGGAAUCAAUUAGGUCAAAUAACUAUAAUGCAUGAGAAGCCACCGGCACCACCAGUUCCUGUUAUAGAGAAGCAUGCUCGGAAAAAAGGUGAUGUGCCAUCAUUUGAUUCUCAUGUAGAAACACUGGCAGAGUGGCUAGAGGAUGAAAACUUGAAAAGAAUCUGCAUAUGGGGACCUCCGGGUGUAGGGAAGACCAAGAUAAUGGGAAUGUUGCAUGACAGGGUUGGUAAAUCUGGUAAAUUUGACAUCAUCUUUUGGGUGAAUGUAACAGCCGAAGGGAGAAUAAGAGACAUACUGGAUGAAAUAUGGAAGCGUUUAGAUAUGAAAGUAGACGGCAACUAUGGUGCUGAUCAAAGAGCAAACAUGAUAUCCGAAGAGCUAAAGGACAAGAGCUAUGUAUUGUUUCUUGAUCUUGAUGAUAUUGUCUCAGAGAUUGAUCUUAGAAAAGUUGGAAUUCAUGAUGAACACGAGCAUGGAAAAGUGGUGUUUGCUUGCAGAUACAAGAACAACAAUAUCUGCGGAGGCACAGAUGAAGAGAUGAACGUGCAGAGAUUAUCGGACGAGGAUGCUGAAAGCUUUUUUUGGGAAAUAGUUGGUUCUGAUCUUAAGAGUAAUCCCGAUAUCAAGCCAGUUGCGAAACACAUCAUCAAAGAAUGUGGUGGCAUGCCGCUCUUGAUCAAGUUAAUCGGCAAUAGAUUGGCAAAAGUGGAUGACCCUGCGAUAUGGCGAGAUUUGUUGUCCCAAUUAAGGUCACCGACAAUGGAACCACAAGAACCACUGGAAGAAGUUUACAAGGCUUUUAAACUUGUUUAUGAAAAACUAUCAGAAGAGAUGAAGCCUUGUUUGCUGUAUUGGGCAGUGUUUCCUGCCGGUUACGAAAUUUUUCGAGACCAUAUAAUUGAUUGUUGGAGAGCGGAGCAGUUCUUUUCAAGCCAAAGAAAACUUCCUAGGACACGUGACAGGGGGCAUGCAAUAUUAGAUGAAUUUGUGAGGAAGUCUUUACUAGAAAAGGGAAGAAAAUGGGGGCAUUUCAAGAUGUAUGAAUAUUUUCAACGGGUGGCAUUAAGGAUAGCAAAUCUUGAAAAGAACUUCAAUUUUUUCGUUACCGAGGAUGAAAACAUUAUAGACGAAGAGUGGGAACGUGCAAGGAGAGUGUCACUUAUUCGGGUUCGCCUAUCUACUCUACCAAAAAGACCCCAAUGUUGUGGGAUCUUGACAUUGUUACUGCAGGAGAGUUGCUUGGCCGAAUUUCCAAGGGAAUUCUUCGGCUAUAUGUGUGGCCUUCAAGUUCUGAACUUGCAUGAAAUACGAAUCACUUCACUUCCAUCAUCGAUAUGCAGCUUAACAAAUCUGAAAGGGCUGUUUAUAAACAACUGUAGUCAAUUAGUACAGCUUCCUUCUCAGAUCGGGGAUCUCCAGCAUCUAGAAAUCCUUGAUAUACGUCAGACCGGUCUCUAUAGUUUGCCCGUAGAGAUUGGAGAAUUGUUCAAUCUAAAAUGUUUGAGAGUUUCAUUCACAGAAGAUGUUGGCAAGUACAACCAUGUCGAAGAAGUGAAGCCGAUGAUUCCUUCUAACGUGAUUGCAAGGCUUUCUAAGUUAGAAGAACUAAGCAUUGAUGUGAGCCAUAGUAGCAGCAGAUAUCAAAAUGCAGCCGAAAUUGUCCGUGAAAUUUCUGAGUUGGAAGAGUUAACCACACUUUGUUUCUUCUUCCCCGAGUUGGCAUCUUUCAACUCUUUCAUCCGGAAUAGCAAAUCAUGGAAAGGAAGCAAUACAAUUUCAGCAGGCAAUAGCUUCAGAUCAUUCAACAUCGUUGUUGGUUGCCGGAGAAACAAUCCUGCUUCUGAAUUUAGAGUCUUCGAAUGUUCAGCCGAGAAGCAUCUGAGGUUUUAUGCAGGAAACGAAUUUCCGAAUGCUAUUUUAGAGGUACUAAAGCAAGCCAAAGCGCUCGAACUGAUCGGUCACCAAACUGCUACCAGUUUAUCAGGCUUCAGAGCUGAUAACUUGCAAGGAGUGGAAGCAUGUAUUGUCGAGGAAUGUAACCAGAUGGAGAACAUCAUAGAUAGAGACCAAACAAGUAUUGCAUUUCAAGAUGAUGACAACAUGGGUGUUGAAUUCGAACGCUUGAAAAGCCUACACAUUUGCAAUCUCCCGAAACUAAAAGGUAUCUGGCGGGGCUCGAUUGAAUCUAAAAGCCUCUGUAGCCUUACAUCUCUCUCGUUAAAAGGAUGCAACAGCAUAGGAGUGCUUUUUUCACAGGGAAUGAUCAUACGACUCUCUCAGCUAGAAAAGCUGGAGGUGAAGGACUGCUGCGUCUUGAAGGAGAUUAUUGAAGAUGGAAGUAUAGUCGAAUCGCACUCCUUUCCCAAGUUGAAGUAUUUGCAGCUCCAUGACUUGCCGGAAUUAUGCGCCAUUUCUCAUAUCUCCUUGCAAUGGCCUUCCUUGGAGACAGUAUUGAUCAAGCCAAGCAUGAAGCUAAGAAAUUUACCACAUACAAUUAAAAACGCAUCAAAACUAAAAACGAUUCACUGCACAGAAGAUUGGUGGAAUCAACAGGAUUGGCCACAUGACACUAAUAAAGAUGAUUUCAAAAACUUUCUCAGUUUCAUAUGAUGAGAGGAGCCUCAACUAGGGCCAAGACAUCCCAAGCAAAAGGCAUUAUUGAAGAGACUGUUGAAGAUUUAGUGAGAAUCAAGAGAAAUAUAAGCCCGGACCUGACUAUAUGCAGCUCUCAAGUAUUCUUAGCUGAGUUGGCUUAUGUGAUAGCCGAGCCUGAGUGGGAAUUGGUCAUUGUUACAUUUUUCGUCCUUGAAUUUCUCCAAAGAUUUUUAUUAUGUAUGGAGAUUCACCCAGCCUUCAACCAAUGAGUAUGAAAAUGUGAUCGUCCAAAGACCCACCAAAUACAUGAAAGCAGUUUGUUCAAGCUGGCCGUAGUUAUGCUCGAAACGGUAUGUCCGAUGAAGAGCUUUUAGGUGGGAUUCAAGCAUUCAUCUCAUCAGAUGUUUCAACAACUACUACAUCAAAGACAACUUUUCAAGACAUUGCUUCCACAUUUUGUAGAACCAGUGACUGCAAAGUCCAUUCCCGACAACCUCCAAUCACUUCCUCUUUAAAGUAAUUCGAUAUUUGUCAUGGUUUGCAUUUUGCAACAAAAUAAACUUCUAAGUAGAGCAAAAUAUAUUUGCAAUAAUGUUUUUUAACUAGUUUUUGAUAUCAAAAUACAUUUUUUAUUAUUUAAUAAAAUGAUUUUAAUACAUAUAAUUAAUAUAA